rnacentral:rRNA from 1 species
GAUGAACGCUAGCGGCAGGCUUAAUACAUGCAAGUCGAGGGGCAUCAAGGUACACGAAAGUGUAUUGUUGGCGACCGGCGGACGGGUGAGUAAUAGGUAGGUAACCUACCUCAUACUGAGGCAUAGCUGGGAGAAAUUCCAGGUAAUUCCUCAUGAGGUUAUAUGACACAUGUGAUAUAAUCAAAGGUAUCGCAAGGUACUGGUAUGAGAUGGGCUUACUGACCAUUAGCUAGUUGGCGAGAUAAGAGCUCACCAAGGCGAAGAUGGUUAGGGGUUUUGAGAGAGAGAUCCCCCACAUUGGAACUGAGAUACGGUCCAGACUCCUACGGGAGGCAGCAGUAGGGAAUAUUGGGCAAUGGGCGGAAGCCUGACCCAGCCAUGCCGCGUGAAGGAAGACGGCCUUAUGGGUUGUAAACUUCUUUACUAUGCGACUAACUAGAUUUACGAGAUAAUUCUAUAGAAUGUAGCAUAGCAAAAGCACCGG